rnacentral:tRNA from 6 species
GCCCUUGUAGUUCAAUGGAUAGAACGGAAGUUUCCUAAACUUUAAAUCCGAGUUCGAUUCUCGGCGAGGGUACAA